GGCUGAUGCUCUAUCCACUGAGCCAAACCGGUUUUGGCAAGACCUUUAUGUUUAGACCAUUUGGGGGGAUUCACAGGCUCUCCCAUGAACAGAUUCCAGAAGAUUCCUAGGGUAGCUUUGGAUUGUUGCCUUUU